rnacentral:rRNA from 1 species
AGAGUUUGAUCCUGGCUCAGGAUGAACGCUGGCGGCGUGCCUAACACAUGCAAGUCGAACGGACUUUUCAUGAAGCCUAGCGAUUGAAAAGUUAGUGGCGGACGGGUGAGUAACGCGUGGGUAACCUGCCUUGUACUGGGGGACAACAGUUGGAAACGACUGCUAAUACCGCAUAAGCGCACAGCUUCGCAUGAAGCAGUGUGAAAAACUCCGGUGGUACAAGAUGGACCCGCGUCUGAUUAGCUGGUUGGUGAGGUAACGGCCCACCAAGGCGACGAUCAGUAGCCGGCCUGAGAGGGUGAACGGCCACAUUGGGACUGAGACACGGCCCAAACUCCUACGGGAGGCAGCAGUGGGGAAUAUUGCACAAUGGGGGAAACCCUGAUGCAGCGACGCCGCGUGGAGGAAGAAGGUCUUCGGAUUGUAAACUCCUGUUGUUGAGGAAGAUAAUGACGGUACUCAACAAGGAAGUGACGGCUAACUACGUGCCAGCAGCCGCGGUAAAACGUAGGUCACAAGCGUUGUCCGGAAUUACUGGGUGUAAAGGGAGCGCAGGCGGGAAGACAAGUUGGAAGUGAAAUCCAUGGGCUCAACCCAUGAACUGCUUUCAAAACUGUUUUUCUUGAGUAGUGCAGAGGUAGGCGGAAUUCCCGGUGUAGCGGUGGAAUGCGUAGAUAUCGGGAGGAACACCAGUGGCGAAGGCGGCCUACUGGGCACCAACUGACGCUGAGGCUCGAAAGUGUGGGUAGCAAACAGGAUUAGAUACCCUGGUAGUCCACACCGUAAACGAUGAUUACUAGGUGUUGGAGGAUUGACCCCUUCAGUGCCGCAGUUAACACAAUAAGUAAUCCACCUGGGGAGUACGACCGCAAGGUUGAAACUCAAAGGAAUUGACGGGGGCCCGCACAAGCAGUGGAGUAU